rnacentral:rRNA from 1 species
UACGUAGGGUGCGAGCGUUAAUCGGAAUUACUGGGCGUAAAGCGUGCGCAGGCGGUUCGUUGUGUCGGUGGUGAAAUCCCCGGGCUUAACCUGGGAAUGGCCAUGGAAACUGGCGAACUGGAGUGCGGCAGAGGGGGGUGGAAUUCCGCGUGUAGCAGUGAAAUGCGUAGAGAUGCGGAGGAACACCGGUGGCGAAGGCGCCACUCUGGGCCGGCACUGACGCUGAGGAGCGAAAGCGUGGGUAGCAAACAGG